AAGGCCUACGGGGGGCAGCAGUGGGGGAUAUUGGACAAUGGGGGAAACCCUGAUCCAGCGAUGCCGCGUGAGGGAAGAAGGUUUUCGGAUUGUAAACCUCUGUGGAGGGGGACGAUAAUGACGGUACCCCUUUAGGAAGCCACGGCUAACUACGUGCCAGCAGCCGCGGUAAUACGUAGGUGGCGAGCGUUGUCCGGAAUUACUGGGUGUAGAGGGGGCGCAGACGGCCAUGGCAAGCCCGGUGUGAAAGGUGCGGGCACAACCCGCAGACUGCACUGGUAACUGCCUGGCUGGAGUGCCGGAGG
rnacentral:rRNA from 1 species